rnacentral:rRNA from 1 species
GACGAACGCUGGCGGCGUGCUUAAUACAUGCAAGUCAACUUGACUUUAGAUAGCAAUAUCGAAAAGUAGGGUGGCGCACGGGUGCGUAACGCGUAGGUAAUCUGCCCUGAGGUCUGACAUAACCCGUCGAAAGGCGGCUAACAUCAGAUGAUAUAUAAUCACGACAUCGUGGAAAUAUCAAAUCUUCGGAGCCUUGGGAUGAGCCUGCGUCUGAUUAGGUAGUUGGCGGAGUAAUAGCCCACCAGGCCUACGAUCAGUAGCUGGUCUGAGAGGAUGAUCAGCCACACUGGAACUGAGACACGGUCCAGACUCCUACGGGAGGCAGCAGUAAGGAAUAUUGCUCAA